AAUAUAAGAGUAGAGAUCCUUUGAGGUGUCAAUGAUGAAGAAGCACACCGAUAAGAGUAGAGUGAGCGGGAACUCAACAAUUCAAGCUCCUAGAUCCUGAAACAGAGUCAAACAGGGGAAUCUCGACAUGGCUCUACAGGCGAACUGGAAUGCAAACCACAGAUAGAAAUGGUGAGUGGCGUUCGGAAGAGUUAAAACCAACAAGAUAGAGGGAGAUUAUUUCGCUCACAGGAUUUUUUCGCCAGUGGUGCAGCUAAGACGGUGAAAUGUUUCUCCCAAGGGCGAACUUUCAUUUCAAAAAUCUCUCUGCUCUCUCUCUCUCUCUCUCUCGGAUGUGAACGACGAAAAUGGCCUUCCCUAAACCCGAGCGUGUAACUAGCAUCUUAGACAGGAAUUGUGAAAACGGUCAGAGGAAAUCCU
rnacentral:lncRNA from 1 species